rnacentral:rRNA from 1 species
GACGAACGCUGGCGGCGUGCCUAAUACAUGCGAGUCGAGCGCAGGAAGUCGACGGAACCCUUCGGGGGGAAGUCGACGGAAUGAGCGGCGGACGGGUGAGUAACACGUAAAGAACCUGCCCUCAGGUCUGGGAUAACCACGAGAAAUCGGGGCUAAUACCGGAUGGGUCAUCGGACCGCAUGGUCCGAGGAUGAAAGGCGCUUCGGCGUCUCCGGGGGAUGGCUUGGCGGUGCAUUAGCUAGUUGGUGGGGUAAUGGCCCACCAAGGCGACGAUGCAUAGCCGACCUGAGAGGGUGAUCGGCCACACUGGGACUGAGACACGGCCCAGACUCCUACGGGAGGCAGCAGUAGGGAAUCUUCCACAAUGGACGAAAGUCUGAUGGAGCAACGCCGCGUGAACGAUGAAGGCCUUCGGGUCGUAAAGUUCUGUUGUAAGGGAAGAACAAGUGCCGCAGGCAAUGGCGGCACCUUGACGGUACCUUGCGAGAAAGCCACGGCUAACUACGUGCCAGCAGCCGCGGUAACAC